GUAAAUAUAGCUUAAACUAAAGCAUUAGAUUGUGAAUCUAAAGUUAGAGACUCAAAUCCNUCUUAUUUACC
rnacentral:tRNA from 1 species